ACCCAUUUCUCAGAGUGGUAAAAUCCAACGUUGCCAUCGUUGGGCCCCCGGUUCGAUUCCGGGCUUGCGCA
rnacentral:tRNA from 1 species